ACGCUGGCGGCGUGCCUAACACAUGCAAGUCGAGCGAAGUUUAUUAAAGGAAGUUUUCGGAUGGAAUUUAAUAAACUUAGCGGCGGACGGGUGAGUAACGCGUGGGCAACCUGCCCUGUACAGAGGGACAACAACGGGAAACCGUUGCUAAUACCUCAUAAAACCCUAAAGGGGCAUCCCUUAUGGGUCAAAGAAUUUCGGUACAGGAUGGGCCCGCGUCUGAUUAGCUAGUUGGUGAGGUAAUGGCUCACCAAGGCGACGAUCAGUAGCCGACCUGAGAGGGUGAUCGGCCACACUGGAACUGAGACACGGUCCAGACUCCUACGGGAGGCAGCAGUGGGGAAUAUUGCACAAUGGGGGAAACCCUGAUGCAGCAACGCCGCGUGAGCGAUGAAGGCCUUCGGGUCGUAAAGCUCUGUCCUAAGGGAAGAAAUUUGACGGUACCUUAGGAGGAAGCCCCGGCUAACUACGUGCCAGCAGCCGCGGUAAUACGUAGGGGGCAAGCGUUAUCCGGAAUCACUGGGCGUAAAGGGUGCGUAGGCGGUCUUACAAGUCAGGGGUGAAAGGCUACGGCACAACCGUAGUAAGCCUUUGAAACUGUAGGACCUGAGUGCAGGAGAGGAAAGUGGAAUUCCUAGUGUAGCGGUGAAAUGCGUAGAUAUUAGGAGGAACACCAGUGGCGAAGGCGACUUUCUGGACUGUAACUGACGCUGUGGCACGAAAGUGUGGGGAGCAAACAGGAUUAAAUACCCUGGUACUCCGCACCGUAA
rnacentral:rRNA from 1 species